rnacentral:rRNA from 1 species
CCUACGUGUGGCAGCAGUGAGGAAUAUUGGUCAAUGGACGCAAGUCUGAACCAGCCAUGCCGCGUGCAGGAAGACGGCUCUAUGAGUUGUAAACUGCUUUUGUACGAGGGUAAAUCCCGAUACGUGUAUCGGGUUGAAAGUAUCGUACGAAUAAGGAUCGGCUAAUUCCGUGCCAGCAGCCGCGGUAAUACGGAAGGUCCGGGCGUUAUCCGGAUUUAUUGGGUUUAAAGGGAGCGUAGGCCGCAUGUCAAGCGUGCUGUGAAAUGUCCGGGCUCAACCCGGGCCUUGCAGCGCGAACUGGCGUGCUUGAGUCCGCGGAAAGCAGGCGGAAUUCGUCGUGUAGCGGUGAAAUGCUUAGAUAUGACGAAGAACCCCGAUUGCGAAGGCAGCUUGCUGCAGCGGAACUGACGCUGAUGCUCGAAAGCGCGGGUAUCGAACAGGAUUAGAUACCCCUGUAGUC